UACAGAGGCCCCAAGCGUUAUCCGGAAUCACUGGGCGUAAAGGGUGUGUAGGUGGUCUUAUUAGUCUCUCGUUAAAGCUCCCGACUCAAUCGGGAAAGUGCGAGGGAAACGGUAAGACUCGAGGAUGUGAGGGGUGAAUGGAACUCAUGGAGUAGGGGUGAAAUCCGUUGAUAUCAUGGGGAACACCAAAAGCGAAGGCAAUUCACUGGCGCAUUCCUGACACUGAAACACGAAAGCGUAGGUAGCGAAUGGG
rnacentral:rRNA from 1 species